rnacentral:rRNA from 1 species
ACCCGCUGAACUUAAGCAUAUCAAUAAGCGGAGGAAAAGAAACCAACAGGGAUUGCCCUAGUAACGGCGAGUGAAGCGGCAAUAGCUCAAAUUUGAAAGCUGGCCUUUGGUCCGCAUUGUAAUUUGUAGAGGAUGCUUUUAGGCAGCCGCCGGUCUAAGUUCCUUGGAACAGGACGUCAUAGAGGGUGAGAAUCCCGUAUGUGACCGGCUCUGGCACCUUAUGUAAAGCUCCUUCGACGAGUCGAGUUGUUUGGGAAUGCAGCUCUAAAUGGGAGGUAAAUUUCUUCUAAAGCUAAAUACUGGCGAGAGACCGAUAGCGCACAAGUAGAGUGAUCGAAAGAUGAAAAGCACUUUGGAAAGAGAGUUAAAAAGCACGUGAAAUUGUUGAAAGGGAAGCGCUUGCAAUCAGACUUGGACUUGGCUGUUCAACCGGUCUUCUGACCGGCCUACUCAGUCUUGUCCAGGCCAGCAUCAGUUUCGGCGGCCGGAUAAAGGCCUUGGGAAUGUGGCUGCCUCUUCGGGGGCAGUGUUAUAGCCCAGGGUGUAAUACGGCCAGCUGGGACUGAGGUCCGCGCUUCGGCUAGGAUGCUGGCGUAAUGGUUGUAAGCGGCCCGUCUUGAAACACGG